rnacentral:rRNA from 1 species
UACGUAGGGUGCAAGCGUUGUCCGGAUUCACUGGGUUUAAAGGGUGCGUAGGUGGGCAAGUAAGUCAGUGGUGAAAUCUCCGGGCUUAACCCGGAAACUGCCAUUGAUACUAUUUGUCUUGAAUACUGUGGAGGUCAGCGGAAUAUGUCAUGCAGCGGUGAAAUGCUUAGAUAUGACAUAGAACACCAAUUGCGAAGGCAGCUGGCUACACAAAUAUUGACACUGAGGCACGAAAGCGUGGGGAUCAAACAGG